AGUGAACGCUGGCGGUAGGCCUAACACAUGCAAGUCGAACGGCAGCACAGUAAGAGCUUGCUCUUACGGGUGGCGAGUGGCGGACGGGUGAGGAAUACAUCGGAAUCUACUUUUUCGUGGGGGAUAACGUAGGGAAACUUACGCUAAUACCGCAUACGACCUACGGGUGAAAGCAGGGGAUCUUCGCACCUUGCGCGAUUGAAUGAGCCGAUGUCGGAUUAGCUAGUUGGCGGGGUAAAGGCCCACCAAGGCGACGAUCCGUAGCUGGUCUGAGAGGAUGAUCAGCCACACUGGAACUGAGACACGGUCCAGACUCCUACGGGAGGCAGCAGUGGGGAAUAUUGGACAAUGGGCGAAAGCCUGACCCAGCCAUACCGCGUGGGUGAAGAAGGCCUUCGGGUUGUAAAGCCCUUUUGUUGGGAAAGAAAAGCAGCAGGUUAAUACCCCGCUGUUCUGACGGUACCCAAAGAAUAAGCACCGGCUAACUUCGUG
rnacentral:rRNA from 1 species